rnacentral:rRNA from 1 species
UACGUAGGGUGCGAGCGUUGUCCGGAAUUACUGGGCGUAAAGGAGCUCGUAGGUGGUUUGGUUCGCGUUGUUCGUGAAAACUCACAACUCAAUUGUGGGCGUGCGGGCGAUACGGGCAGACUGGAGUACUGCAGGGGAGACUGGAAUUCCUGGUGUAGCGGUGGAAUGCGCAGAUAUCAGGAGGAACACCGGUGGCGAAGGCGGGUCUCUGGGCAGUAACUGACGCUGAGGAGCGAAAGCGUGGGGAGCGAACAGG